CCAACCAGAGUAUGGCUGUGUUCUUCUCAAUCCCCAGUCAAGAGAGCUGCCUUAUAUGACUGUCCUGAGGUCAGCCAUGUGACCAAGUCUUCCACAUUGAAACAGGCAGGAAGAACCCACUGGGCUGGCCGGAUGCAGUGGCUCACGCCUGUAAACCCAGAACUUUGGGAGACCGAAGUGGGAGGAUCACAACGUCAGGAGUUCGAGACCAGCCUGGCCAACAUGUCACUCACUCUGGGGGAAGCCAGGUGCUAUGUUGUGAGAACACUCAAGCAGCUCAAUGGCGAGGUCCAUGUGGCAAGGAACUGAAGCCACCUGCCAAUGGCCAACAGGAAACACGUGCCUUAUGUCAACAGCCAUGUGAGUGAACCAUCUUGAAAACAGAUUCUUUAGCCCCAUUCUUCAGAUGGCGGCAACCCUAGCUCACUUUUUACUGCAACAUCAUAAGACACCCUGAGCAGUCAUCCAACUAAACCACUCUUGAAUGCCUGACCCACACAAACUGUGAGAUAACAAAUAGUUGUGUUACAUUGCUAAAUUAUGAGGUAAUUGGUUACACAGCAAUAAAUAAUUCAACUAGGUUAUCCUCUAAAUGAGUAGUUCUUACAUUUUGGGGGGACAGGGACUUCUUUGAGAAUCUGAUAAAAAUUAUAGACCCUCACUUGAGAAAAAUGCACAGAAACAAAAACAUGUAGCUCACAGUUUCUGGAGAAUCAUAUAUCCCAAUAAAGCCCAUUCAUGGUUCUCAGGUUAAAAACUCCUUCUCCAAACACUAGAAGAGUCCACAGGUAAAUUCUUUCCUUAAAAAAAAAUCCCUUUCCUGUGGAGGACUAAUGUAAAGCAAUUUUUAUUCUUUGCUUCAGUUUGUUUUUCCUUGAGAUGGAAGAACCAGUUCGAUUAAAGAGGCAUUUCCCCCACCCCCAAUCCCCUCAGGCUGUUUCCACCAGCACAUUUCAGAGGGCAAAGGGGUCAAACUAACUUUUUU